UACGUAGGGUGCAGGCGUUAAUCGGAAUUACUGGGCGUAGAGCGUGCGCAGGCGGUUUCUUAAGUCAGAUGUGAAAGCCCCGGGCUUAACCUGGGAACUGCGUUUGAAACUGGGAGACUUGAGUGUGGCAGAGGGGGGUGGAAUUCCACGUGUAGCAGUGAAAUGCGUAGAUAUGUGGAGGAACACCGAUGGCGAAGGCAGCCCCCUGGGUUAACACUGACGCUCAUGCACGAAAGCGUGGGGAGCAAACAGG
rnacentral:rRNA from 1 species